ensembl:Mt_tRNA
UAGAGCUUGGUGUACAUGGUAGCACGAAGAAUUUUGAGUUCUUGAGAGUGGGUUCAAGUCCUAUAGCUCUAG